rnacentral:rRNA from 1 species
GUGGGGAAUAUUGCGCAAUGGGGGAAACCCUGACGCAGCAACGCCGCGUGAAGGAUGAAGGUUUUCGGAUUGUAAACUUCUUUAGUCGGGGACGAAUAAUGACGGUACCCGAAGAAUAAGCCACGGCUAACUACGUGCCAGCAGCCGCGGUAAUACGUAGGUGGCGAGCGUUGUCCGGAAUUACUGGGUGUAAAGGGCGUGUAGGCGGGAAUGCAAGUCAGAUGUGAAAUUCCAGGGCUCAACCCUGGCGCUGCAUCUGAAACUGUGUUUCUUGAGUGCUGGAGAGGAAAGCGGAAUUCCUAGUGUAGCGGUGAAAUGCGUAGAUAUUAGGAGGAACACCAGUGGCGAAGGCGGCUUUCUGGACAGUAACUGACGCUGAGGCGCGAAAGCGUGGGGAGCAAACAGGAUUAGAUACCCCUGUAGUCC